rnacentral:rRNA from 1 species
AUUAAACGCUGGCGGCAGGCCUAACACAUGCAAGUCGGGCGCGAGGCGGACGGGUGAGUAAUAUAUGGGGAUCUGCCUGAUGGAGGGGGAUAACUACGGGAAACGGUAGCUAAUACCGCAUACCCGCAGAUGAACCCAUAUGGGAUUAGCUUGUAGGUGAGGGAACGGCUCACCUAGGCGACGAGCCCUAGCUGGUCUGAGAGGAUGAUCAGCCACACUGGGACUGAGACACGGCCCAGACUCCGACGGGAGGCAGCAGUGGGGAAUAUUGCACAAUGGGCGCAAGCCUGAUGCAGCCAUGCCGCGUGAAUGAAGAAGGCCUUCGGGUUGUAAAGUUCUUUCGGUAGCGAGGCGUUAACUACAGAAGAAGCACCGGCUAACUCCGUGCCAGCAGCCGCGCUAAUUC